rnacentral:rRNA from 1 species
AUUGAACGCUGGCGGCAGGCCUAACACAUGCAAGUCGAGCGAGCGGCGGACGGGUGAGUAAUGUAUGGGGACUGCCCGAUAGAGGGGGAUAACUACUGGAAACGGUGGCUAAUACCGCAUACUAUCGGAUAACCCAUAUGGGAUUAGCUAGUAGUUGGGGUAAAGGCGAACCUAGGCGACGAUCUCUAGCUGGUCUGAGAGGAUGAUCAGCCACACUUGGCCUGAGACACGGCCCAGACUCCGACGGAGGCAGCAGUGGGGAAUAUUGCACAAUGGGCGCAAGCCUGAUGCAGCCAUGCCGCGGGUAUGAAGUAGGCCUUAGGGUUGUAAAGUUCUUUCGGUAGCGAGGCGUUAACUACAGAAGAAUCACCGGCUAACUCCGUGCCAGCCGCCGCGGUAAUAC